rnacentral:tRNA from 1 species
GGGGUUAUGACUCGGUGGUAGAGUGCUUGCCUAGCAUGCAUGAGGCAGUGGGUUCAUUCCCCAGCACCA